UACGUAGGGGGCUAGCGUUAUCCGGAAUUACUGGGCGUAAAGGGUGCGUAGGUGGUUUCUUAAGUCAGAGGUGAAAGGCUACGGCUCAACCGUAGUAAGCCUUUGAAACUGGGUGCCUUGAGUGGGCGAGAAGUACGCGGAAUGCGUGGUGUAGCGGUGAAAUGCAUAGAUAUCACGCAGAACUCCGAUUGCGAAGGCAGCGUACCGGCGCCCUACUGACGCUGAAGCACGAAGGCGUGGGUAUCGAACAGG
rnacentral:rRNA from 1 species